rfam:Arabidopsis thaliana chromosome 5, complete sequence.
GCAUGAACCAACAUAUGCGAUCAAAACGUCGCAUCAGAAAGUCGCAGCUAAGCGUGCUUAAACGAGAGUUCUACUAGGAUGGGUGACUUCUCGGGAAGUCCUCAUGUUGCAUCCU